UAAACACUGCUCAAAUACUCACACACACUGGCUGAAAGAAACGCAAGAGACUGACUGAAACUGACUCGGCAGGAUGUCGCAUCCUGGGCCUACUUAGUCUAUCAGGCAUAGACAUCAGAGUCGAAGUAGUUCGGACUGGGGAAACGACACAUGCUCGCUAGGAUAUCGCAUCCUAUGCAUACGUAUCUUCUCGGACGAGAGAAGAAUCAGAGCAUUCGUAGCUCGGCUGACACGCACACAAACAAACAAGACACAGGCAAACGUGGAGCCCGACUGCCAAUCACUGGACUUAUGUCAGCAUCCGAACCUAAACACACGCAAAGAGGCAAACGUGGAGCCCAAAUGCCAAUCACUGGACUUACAUUGACAUCCGAACCUAAACAACACAACAGAUAGAUAGGGAGUCGGGGACUCAGCCUAUAACUGUCAAACACACACAAACAGACAGACAGCAAAUGCUAAGGAGUCACGGACUCGAGCCUAGCAAAGGUCAG
rnacentral:lncRNA from 1 species